rnacentral:rRNA from 1 species
UACGUAGGGGGCAAGCGUUGUCCGGAAUCAUUGGGCGUAAAGCGCGUGUAGGCGGUCCGGUAAGUCGGCUGUGAAAGUCCAGGGCUCAACCCUGGGAUGCCGGUCGAUACUGCCGGACUAGAGUUCGGAAGGGGAGAGUGGAAUUCCCGGUGUAGCGGUGAAAUGCGCAGAUAUCGGGAAGAACACCCGUGGCGAAGGCGGCUCUCUGGGACGGUACUGACGCUGAGACGCGAAAGCGUGGGGAGCGAACAGG